rnacentral:rRNA from 1 species
AGUGAUGAUGGCAAAGAGGCCACACCCGUUCCCAUCCCGAACACGGAAGUUAAGCUCUUUUGCGCCGAUGGUAGUUGGGGGUUUCCCCCUGUGAGAGUAGGACGUCGCUG